AAGUCGUAACAAGGUUUCCGUAGGUGAACCUGCGGAAGGAUCAUUAACACGAAACUCCACGUUUCAUACCAACCUGUGGUCUUGUAACUUUCAGUUUUUUGGAAACGAAGAAGAGGCGGGCAACUGCCUUUUUUUCUAUCCAAAGAAUUUUUAUAUACAAACCCCUUGUAUCAUCUAUUGACUGAACCAAUGGAAGCUUUUGAGUACCUUCGGGCGCUCGCUUCUUGAUAUUACGAAACUCUGAACAACUCUAAGCAACGGAUAUCUUGGUUCUC
rnacentral:misc_RNA from 1 species